AUUUUCUUCCUCUUUCUCGGGUGGAGUUUCGGGCAGUGAAGGCGUGUGUGCGGGUGCUCCGCGCUCAUUGUAGUACAAUUUCGCUCUAGGAGGCAGCAGAAUGCUUAAAUUGUGCCCUGGUAUGGGUAGGUUGUUACAGAGAGUACUGUACUCACCAGAAAAGUCACUGGUUGCCUUGAAGAUAAAUUGUAAAGAAAACUGCAUUAAAUGUGGGCUGAGAACCAUGAUACCAAGCCAAGCAGGCAGACCUUUCCAUGCUGGUGAAGUUUUGGGCAAGGAGGAUGGUCGCAGAGCUGUGAAAGUGCCCAAACCUGAUGAUGGAACUGAGGGUGAAGCAAGCAUUGGUCUGGACUACAGGCUAUCAGAACAGACAGCACAUUCCCAGAUGAAAAUACUCCCAAUAUCCUGGUGGACGGGGUGAAGUUCUCAGACCUGCCGAUUUGCAGUGUGAGGGUCUCAAAGAACAACACAGUGUUCUCAAUUUCUACAUCUCAAGGGCUUGUGAAGAUGAUACGUUCCUGUGGAAUGGAGGGUUUUAAGAACACCAAGAAAGGUACAAAUGUUGCUGCUCAGGCAACUGGAAUUGCAAUGGCUGUGAGAGCCUUGAACAAAGGCUACAAGAAUGUCCGGGUGCUGAUUCGAGGCCUGGGGCCAGGGCGCAUGAGCUCGGUGAAAGGCUUGCAGUUGGGUGGUUUGAACAUCGUGUCUCUCACAGACGCGACCCCGGUGACGUGGAACUGCUACAGACCCCGCAAGGCAAGACGAUUGUGAAAGGUUAGGUGCGUUGGGUGACCCCCUUCAGUGAUGAAGCAAGAGAAAGUAAG